UCGUCCGAAAUUGAUCUCGACAACGAUGCACUUUCCCUUUUGGUAAAAAUUACCGGUCGGUAAUUUUUCAACGCGCGACAAGUGGGAUCCGCCAACGCGCUUGCACACGACGCGUGCACACGUAUAUGCACAGGUGGCCUUCCAUUGGCCCGCUUCCCGGAGACAUUUUCAUCUGCGGUGAACAGCGAAGAUCGUUGACCGUUACAGGGAGAUACCGAUUAAAAAGUGAACGAACGUGAGGAGGGAGGGAGAAGGACGGAGAGACGUGGAAGAGGCGAAGGAGGGAGAGAGAGAGAGAGAGAGAGAGAGAAAGAGAAAGGUAACGCAACGUAAUGGAAAUGUGGAUAUGCGGUUGGCGCGUGCGCCUGCAGUAGGGCAGGGCAAGACGACAGCUGUUUCAGUCCUGAGGCAACAUCAGUGUUGCACCUGCCUACUUGCUUGCUUGCUUGCUUGCCUGCCUGCUUGCCUGCCUGCUUGCUUGCUUGCUUGCUUCCUCGCUUGUCUGACUGCUUGCCCGCUUGCCUGCCUGCCCGCCUGCUAGCUCGCUCGCUUCCUUGCUACCUCGCUCGCCUGCUUGCCACAUAACCUAUAACCACUUUUAGCAGACUCUUCGUCUCUUAUUAGGUUCACUGAUCUCCUCCAUUUCUUUCCUUCUCUUCUUCUUUGCUUUAAUAGCGUUUGAAAAGAGGGAGAUGUGGAUGAGAGAUUGUGCGGACGGAUUGCUCUUUUUCUUUCUUUUUUCGAACGGUCCAUGGAUGGUGGUUUUUUUGGGUUUGAAGUUGCGGAGACUGAAGUGGUUUCUUGGAUCGUGAUCGAGGCAGGGAGGAAGAAAGAAGAUACUCGAUUGAGACACGAUUUUGAAAUUCAAGAAUUCUUUAGGAUUCUUUUCUUCGGUUAUUCCUUUAAACGGAGAUUUAUAAGUGAAAUUGCAAGACGUUUGAAGAGGUUUGUGGAAUCUCUUUCUGCUCGAAAUUAGGCUCGUGAUCCUCCAAUUAUACCGCGGCUCAUAGACCGUAUAUAAUUUGAAAUAGCCGGCAUGCUUCGGAUACACGUUUCGGGCGUAAUAAAUUUCGUCCAGGUACAGUCUUUAUGCAGUAAGACGGGCCUGGUAGCACGUGUUAAGAAGUUUAACGCUUUAUUUUCGGUUGCUGUAUGCAUAGUUGGGUGACGCCUAAUGUAUCGGACGUAUCGGCGCCCGCAUAAGCAAGCGUGGCACGCGUCACGACGCCUCGUCGCCGAUAAACAAGGCGCUGGAAACCAAAGAAGAAUUUUUAUAUCCCUCUUCGAAAGAUGAGAUGUCUGUUCGCCGAGAGAAAAUAAGCAAAGUUGUCGAUGUCCGUCUUUGGCAUUACCUGUUCCACUUUUUGGAACAGUUUUCAUCUCACUUUGUUUAGAAUUGGAUUUAUUUUUAUUAUUCGAAUGAAAUGAAAUUUAUGAUCUGGUGCAAAUUAAUAAUAAUAAUAAUAAUCUAUAAAACUUUUUUGGUUUCAAAAAAAAAGAAAGAUCAAAGUGUUUAAAAAGUAAUGGUUUUCUUUAAGACCAUGCUUGAAUUAAACGAAAUGCAAAUUAUUAAUGAUAAUAAUAAUAUUAUCAUGGAAUGAAAAAGAAGGAAAGAUUGGAAUGGAAAUUUGAACGAUUGAUCUGAUUUCACAGCGUUCGAGUCUAUGAAGGUAUCGAUCGUGCAUAUCGAUCGAUAGAUCCCAAUUCAUGUGGCAAUAAGAGUGGCGACUUAGAAGGCAAUCGCUGUCACUGCAGGCCUACUUCAUGACGGAAGUUUCUUGGCCAAUCAAUCCGUCGAUUCUUGGUCAACAGGUCACUCGGAUCAAAUGGAAGAGAAAAUUAAUGUUGCCCACCAACAUGGAAUGGCCUCUGCUUUUCGUUUACUCCCCCGACGAAUCAUCCUUCGAUUCGAUUUAAAAUACCAGAAAUUGUAUUCAAAAUUACGUCACUUUUCCCCAAUUUCUCUCUCCCCUCUUCUCUCAAACUUGAAAUAUUCCAUCUAGCAUUUUUCCAUUCCCUUAAUAAUAAAGAUAGAUUAAAAUUCUACGUGUCUAUAAAUUCAAUAAAUUUUAGGGAGUUUUAAUUUCAAAGAAAUUGAUUUUUCAUCUCUCUGAAAGGAAAAAAACAAUAAUUUCUACUUUCAACAAAUCAACAACGAAAUUGUCGGGCAAAAUUCUUCGCUUCCCCUUAAUCCAAAAUCUACAGACGAGUUUAUCGAAUGGGAGAAGUUGUCGUCGUACUACUCGCGAUCGAAGUCACGCUAAAAAUCACGUUUAAUUCGCACCUUCGUUGCUUAUUAAAUCCCGAUCUAAUCGCACAGAUUACGAUAACAAAUUUUAAGUAAGAAUUUUCUCGUAUUAUCGUCCAGAUGUGUCGUACAGGCUUGGUGUUUAGACCUAACUAUAACGGCUCUUUCUCCUUACAAAAAGCGAGCGAUUCGUUCCUUUCGGAUUCUGUCAACUGCGAUUUUUAAAAGAGAAAAAAUUCGGAAAAUUUAAAUGCGAAGGAAUUUACUUUACAGGAUAAAUAGUUUAUUGGAGAAUAUUUCUUAUAUUUUAUAAUUUAGAGGACGAGUGAGAUUAUAGAAUAGGAUUUUUCAAAAUUUAAGGAAAUGAAUUUUAACACGAUCGUUACGAUAUAAAUAAUUAUACAAUAAUCCUUGAAAAAUGAUAUAGGAAAAAAGGAAUAUUUUAUCACGAAUUCCAUUCCAAAAGGAGGGCAACAUCGCGUUGCAAAAUCUUGAUCAUUCCAUGCUUAAUCAAUUGGACUAAUGAACUGUCUCGACUUGAUAAAUAACCACGCUAAAUGUUUCAAUGAGAGAAUUUCGACAAAGAUGACCGAGAUGAUCUAAUGGUAAUUGAUUAAAAAUUAUACUUUUAAUAGAAACAUAAAGGAGAAAAAAAAUUUGCGAUCAAUUAAUCGUCCGAUAAUCAAGUCAUUUUGAAAAGAUAAAUUGAUUAAAUUAUCGUGAGGGAGUAAUAACGUGAGUGAAAAUAAGACAGGAAUAGGAAUAGAAGAAGAAAGAGAAAGAGAGAGAGAGAGAGAGAAAAGAAGUUCCAAUUUUUUUCUUUUUUCCUCUUUUUCAAAAAGGUAUAAUUAUUCUUUUUGCGAAUGAACGAACGAAGCUGCGCCCACAACGAACAGGCGAUGACAGAUGUUGCAGCCGCAUUAGAUAAUUAAUCUGAUGGGAGGGAGGGAAGGAUACGCCGAAUGACGGGGCGUGGAGGGACGAUUAUCGAGCUCGUUUAGUUUUAUUAGAUGCCUAACCUCUCCACUUCUUGCUGCCCUUUUUCACCCCCGUGAUUUCUAUCUGGUCUGGAUCAACGGAUAUCUAAAUCUAUAUAUAUAUAUAUAGUGAGACAUAGAGAUCCUGUGAAAGCAACAACGAUCCCGCAAACUUCCUUCUGAGAUCGAUUCCAGGAAAGCCAAUUAGAGGAAGAAGUCGGUGAUCGAUCAGCACGUGAAGAGGGUGAAAGUAAAAAGAAAAAAGGAAAGAGAGAGAGAGAGAGAGA